rnacentral:rRNA from 1 species
CAGAUGGGCAGUUUGACUGGGGCGGUCGCCUCCUAAAGAGUAACGGAGGCGCCCAAAGGUUCCCUCAGCCUGGUUGGCAAUCAGGUGUCGAGUGCAAGUGCACAAGGGAGCUUGACUGUGAGACCGACGGGUCGAGCAGGAGCGAAAGCUGGGACUAGUGACCCGGCACCGGCAUGUGGAAGCGGUGUCGCUCAACGGAUAAAAGGUACCCCGGGGAUAACAGGCUGAUCUUCCCCAAGAGUCCAUAUCGACGGGAUGGUUUGGCACCUCGAUGUCGGCUCGUCGCAUCCUGGG